GACGAACGCUGGCGGCGUGCCUAAUACAUGCAAGUCGAACGGAGUGGGGACGGGUGAGUGACACGUGGGUUACCUCCCAGCAGAGGGGAUAACACUUGGAAACAGGUGCUAAACUGAUACUGAAGGAUGGACCCGCGGUGCAUUAGCUAGUUGGGGGGGUAACGGCUCACCAAGGCCACGAUGCAUAGCCGGCCUGAGAGGGUGAUCGGCCACACUGGGACUGAGACACGGCCCAGACUCCUACGGGAGGCAGCAGUAGGGAAUCUUCGGCAAUGGACGAAAGUCUGACCGAGCAACGCCGCGUGAGUGAAGAAGGUUUUCGGAUCGUAAAACUCUGUUGUUAGAGAAGCGGUAUCUAACCAGAAAGCCACGGCUAACUACGUGCCAGCAGCCGCGGUAAUAC
rnacentral:rRNA from 1 species